AGGAUACUGAGAAAUAAUAUGGAAAGGAAACGUGGAGCAUUUCCAGGGGCAUCUCUAGGGGGGUCUCCCCAGAGUGAGCUUCCAGCCAGAGCAAAGAAACGAAGAAGUGGGCCUACACUGCUGAGAGCAGGAAAGAGAAGCAGCUCCCCGCCCCAGCCCUACAAAUCCCGGCCCCGCCACCAAUACUCCACCUCAUCGGAGAGGAAUGUGCUGGCCUGCCACAAGUUGGUCUGAAGAAUGCAGAGUUUCCGUACUACUUUAGAAGAUCCCAAAUGACACUGGAAACAUGCAGAGGGAGGUAUAACCAUCACAGUUCUCUCCAGCCGACUGACCCAGGAAUUCCCGACCAUCAUAGGAGGUGGACAGAGAUCCUAAGAGGUUCCGCACGGGCCAGGAAUUAAGAUAAAGGGUGGAAGUGCAAAUUUCUGGUUUUCUUUCUACGACUUGUGGUGUGACCUUGUGGAUAAACACUAACUCUGGAGUGUAAUUUAUCUUCUAAGCCCUCACAAGGGGAAGGGAAGCAAAGAGGAGAGAUGAAUGAGCCGUAAGGAAUCGUGAUCUGGAUGGUGACUAGGACUACUCUAGCGGGCAGGCAAGGGCUGCCGCAGGCACCUGCGUUUCCCCGGAUGUCUAUAUAACAGCCUGGGACUCGGGGUGCCUGGGUGGCUCAGUCAGUUAAGCGCCUGCCUUUGGCUCAGGUCAUGAUCCCAGGGU